rnacentral:lncRNA from 1 species
UACAGUCGGAUGCCAUAGGCUUGCUGGUCUUUUAUGGCUGUUCCUCAGGAGCAGAGUUACCUUUGCCUAUGUCUUUGCUUGCAGUUGUAUGGAACUCAGGUUUAUACAUUUUUGUUGUGCAGCUCCACUCGCAAAUUCUGAGUAUGAAAAAUGUAAACGAGAUUUACCAAGUUCUCUACAUAACACCAAUAAUCAUUUGUCAAAUAUUUCAUGAUUUUGCUGAUGACUAUGGCUUCGUUUGGGAGAGUGGUUGGC